GUCCAGGGUAGCCUAGUGGUCAUGGCAUCCAUGGCAUCUGCCCGGUAAGCGGAAGGUCGUGGGUUCGAUUCCCAUCCCUUGACA